GAAUCCAAUCUCAUGUUGAUUCACAAGCUACUGCCUACUCCCAUUGGGAUGAACCUUACUUUGGUAAAGCAACCAUUACUUCAUCAAGAUCUAAUAGAGAUCCUAGGAAAAAUCAAGGAGAAUGGACAGAGAACUCUGUCCUGAAGACUCCACGACGACACCAUGGAACCCUGCUGAUGAAGAUCUUUCGAGGGCAAUCGUCAGUCACGGGGUGGUGUAAGAGCCCGUCUGAAGCCCCUCAUUUUCCAUUCUGCCUUCCGAUUGCCACGAGAAAGAAUCCCUUCCUCCACUGCAGUUCCGGCUUAGAACAGGACACAGUGCAGGUGCAACCACUGAACCGUCAUGCUAGCUGUUCCGAACAAGGCCUGGCAAGAACUUGGCAAGGACUUGGCAAGGACUUGGCAAAGACCUGACGUGGACCCAGCACGGGACAGCCUGAUGCGCGGCCUGCUUCUAAUCUCCGUUCUUAAGCCAAAUGAACUUUUGGGUGACUCCCGGGGUCCUUCAUUGAAGACCCCUCAUCUGCCUCGUUACCAGUGUGACAAACAAAGAAUGAGAACCCUCCUCCCAAGGACUGAGACUGAGACCCCUGCUAUAGGGAGGAGGGGAAAUUGGUGGUCUGACCACUAAUGACAUGACCUGUUUCCCUUCAGUGAUUCAAAUGGACUUAUUCUUCAUUGGAUUCGUCUUGCUUUGGUGGUUUCUGUGGACUCACCUGUUCCCGCGUGGCGAUUACAAUGGACUUUCGUUGUUACACUUGCUCCCCCCUCUUUCCUCUGUGGACUAUAACUGGAGCCCCGAGUCGACCAGAACUUCGGAGACUCCCCCGACACGACAGACGGAUCCCCAUCGUCCGGACCACUGAGGAUCUCGCCUGUGUUGGUAGCUAUUCCCAUACCCCUCUUCUCUCUCUCUCUCUCCUUUUAUCUCCUUUCCGAUCCCCACUAUCGCAUUUACUGUUUUGGCCCCUAAUAAAGGUGCAUUUGUUGUGAUUAA